rnacentral:tmRNA from 1 species
AGGACCAGUUCCCUCGUAAAUCCACUGGAAUGCAAUAAACGCCAACGACGAGCGUUACGCUCUCGCCGCCUAACACCGGCGAGACGCUGUACCGGCUGGCUCAUGGGCCGGACGGGAAAACGGGCGCAAGCCCGUUUGGAUGGGAUCGAAGCCUUCGGGUCGCGAUCUGAGCCGUAGCCCGUAGCAGCGUCAUUUUCAUGAGCUAAGGCCGUUCCUCGCCGCGGGGAACGGUUCGAAACACUCAGCGGAUCGCCUGCUGCCAGCCUGCCCGUUGGCGUGCAGCGGGUCAAAUCAAACAAUGGGCUAA